CACGUAGGGCGCAAGCGUUGUCCGGAAUUAUUGGGCGUAAAGAGCUCGUAGGCGGUGUGUCACGUCGGCCGUGAAAACCUGCAGCUUAACUGUGGGCGUGCGGUCGAUACGGGCAUCACUGGAGUUCGGCAGGGGAGACUGGAAUUCCUGGUGUAGCGGUGAAAUGCGCAGAUAUCAGGAGGAACACCGAUGGCGAAGGCAGGUCUCUGGGCAUUAACUGACGCUGAGGAGCGAAAGCAUGGGGAGCGAACAGG
rnacentral:rRNA from 1 species